CGUAGGGCGCAAGCGUUAUCCGGAAUUAUUGGGCGUAAAGAGCUCGUAGGCGGUUUGUCGCGUCUGCCGUGAAAGUCCGGGGCUCAACUCCGGAUCUGCAGUGGGUACGGGCAGACUAGAGUGAUGUAGGGGAGACUGGAAUUCCUGGUGUAGCGGUGAAAUGCGCAGAUAUCAGGAGGAACACCGAUGGCGAAGGCAGGUCUCUGGGCAUUAACCGACGCUGAGGAGCGAAAGCAUGGGGAGCGAACAGGAUUAGAUACCCUGGUAGUCCAUGCCGUAAACGUUGGGCACUAGGUGUGGGGGACAUUCCACGUUUUCCGCGCCGUAGCUAACGCAUUAAGUGCCCCGCCUGGGGAGUACGGCCGCAAGGCUA
rnacentral:rRNA from 1 species